rnacentral:rRNA from 1 species
UACGUAGGGGGCAAGCGUUGUCCGGAUUCAUUGGGCGUAAAGAGCUCGUAGGCGGCUUGUCGCGUCGUCCGUGAAAACCCACAGCUCAACUGUGGGCUUGCGGUCGAUACGGGCAGGCUAGAGUUCGGUAGGGGAGACUGGAAUUCCUGGUGUAGCGGUGAAAUGCGCAGAUAUCAGGAGGAACACCGGUGGCGAAGGCGGGUCUCUGGGCCGAUACUGACGCUGAGGAGCGAAAGCGUGGGUAGCAAACAGG